rnacentral:rRNA from 1 species
AACGAACGCUGGCGGCAGGCUUAACACAUGCAAGUCGAACGCCCCGCAAGGGGAGUGGCAGACGGGUGAGUAACGCGUGGGAAUCUACCCAGUUCUACGGAAUAACCCAGGGAAACUUGGACUAAUACCGUAUACGCCCUACGGGGGAAAGAUUUAUCGGAAUUGGAUGAGCCCGCGUUGGAUUAGCUAGUUGGUGGGGUAAUGGCCUACCAAGGCGACGAUCCAUAGCUGGUCUGAGAGGAUGAUCAGCCACACUGGGACUGAGACACGGCCCAGACUCCUACGGGAGGCAGCAGUGGGGAAUAUUGGACAAUGGGCGCAAGCCUGAUCCAGCCAUGCCGCGUGAGUGAUGAAGGCCUUAGGGUUGUAAAGCUCUUUCAGUGGGGACGAUAAUGACGGUACCCACAGAAGAAGCCCCGGCUAACUUCGUGCCAGCAGCCGCCGCAGUAA